GAGUAACAAAACACAAACAAACGCUUCUAUAACAAAAACUAAAAUAAAUACAAAUUAAGAGAGCGCAAGAAAUGGAAUUCAUUGAGCACAAACUAAUCAAUAGCGAAGUAAUUUAAUCGGCAAGCAAUAAGCAAGCGCACUAACCUCAAGUAAAAAGCAAAAGUUUUACUACAUUUACAACAAGCAAUAAAUAAAUCAACGACCGCAUACGCGCUGGUGUACUAAACAAAAACUGACCGUACAUGCAAACAUCUGGCCAACUAACGAUAUUGUGUUCGAAAAUAGUUGCAAAUCAAAAAUAGCGCUGUGCGGUCGGAAUUACGUUAGCCCGCAAUUUGCACAAAAUUUGGCCUGAAUAAAUUAAAAAAAAAAAAAAACGAACGACCUUGCCUUUUAACGUCUUAAGUGUUGUGGAAACAUUGAACUCUCAAUAUGGUGGCAAUUACUAAUAACAAUGAAAUUGAGCGAG